rnacentral:rRNA from 1 species
GAGUUUGAUCAUGGCUCAGGAUGAACGCUAGCUACAGGCUUAACACAUGCAAGUCGAGGGGAAACGGCAUUUAGUGCUUGCACCGAAUGGACGUCGACCGGCGCACGGGUGAGUAACGCGUAUCCAACCUUCCCAUGACUAAGGGAUAACCUGCCGAAAGGCAGACUAAUACCUUAUGUAAUCCUUUGAUGGCAUCAGAUAAGGAUAAAAGAUUUAUCGGUUAUGGAUGGGGAUGCGUCUGAUUAGCUUGUUGGCGGGGUAACGGCCCACCAAGGCAACGAUCAGUAGGGGUUCUGAGAGGAAGGUCCCCCACAUUGGAACUGAGACACGGUCCAAACUCCUACGGGAGGCAGCAGUGAGGAAUAUUGGUCAAUGGACGGAAGUCUGAACCAGCCAAGUAGCGUGCAGGAUGACGGCCCUAUGGGUUGUAAACUGCUUUUGUAUGGGGAUAAAGUCAAUCACGUGUGAUUGUUUGCAGGUACCAUACGAAUAAGGACCGGCUAAUUCCGUGCCAGCAGCCGCGGUAAUACGGAAGGUUCGGGCGUUAUCCGGAUUUAUUGGGUUUAAAGGGAGCGUAGGCCGGAGAUUAAGUGUGUUGUGAAAUGUAGACGCUCAACGUCUGACUUGCAGCGCAUACUGGUUUCCUUGAGUACGCACAACGUUGGCGGAAUUCGUCGUGUAGCGGUGAAAUGCUUAGAUAUGACGAAGAACUCCGAUUGCGAAGGCAGCUGACGGGAGCGCAACUGACGCUGAAGCUCGAAGGUGCGGGUAUCGAACAGGAUUAGAUACCCUGGUAGUCCGCACAGUAAACGAUGGAUGCCCGCUGUUGGUACCUGGUAUCAGCGGCUAAGCGAAAGCAUUAAGCAUCCCACCUGGGGAGUACGCCGGCAACGGUGAAAACUCAAAAGGAAAUUGACGGGGGCCCGCACGAAGCGGAGGAAACAUGUGGUUUAAAUUCGAUGAUACGCGAGGAAACCUUACCCGGGCUUGAAUUGCAGAGGAAGGAUUUAGAGAUAAAUGACGCCCUUCGGGGUCUCUGUGAAGGUGCUGCAUGGUUGUCGUCAGCUCGUGCCGUGAGGUGUCGGCUUAAGUGCCAUAACGAGCGCGAACCCCUCUCUUCAGUUGCCAUCAGGUUAAGCUGGGCACUCUGGAGACGACUGCCACCGUAAGGUGUGAGGAAGGUGGGGAUGACGUCAAAUCAGCGCGGCCCUUACGUUCCGGGGCUACGCACGUGUUACGAAUGGCCGGUACGGAAGGGACGGUGUGAAUGUGAAAUUGCGUCGAAUUCUUGAAAAGCCGGUUCCCGGUUCGGAACUGGGGUUCUGCGACCCGACCCCGCGAAGGCUGGAUUCGCGUAGGAAUCGCGCGCGCGGCCGAUAGCGCGGUAAGACGUUUCCCGGGCCUUGUGCGCACUGCCCGGCA